GCCUCGCUGGUGUAGUGGUAGAGCACGCGUCCCCGGGUAGGAUGAAACGCGGGUUCCGGAUAUGAUAAACGCGGGUUCGAUUUCCGCCUGAGGCC